GAUGGCUCGAGGCUCUUGGCCCGAGCCAUUUUAUUUUGAUCGUCCGAUGGAACUGCAAGUGCAUGACACCCUUUUUUUACUUUGCCAUAAGGAGGCAAAUCGAAUGUCAGAACGUAUCAUCGGAACAGUCAAAUGGUUCAACGGCACCAAGGGCUACGGCUUCUUGGAGCGCGAAGGCGGCCCGGACGUAUUCGUCCACUACAGCGCCAUUCAAGGCGACGGCUACCGCAACCUUCAAGAAGGUCAGCAAGUUGAAUUCACUGUUGAGCAAGGCGCAAAAGGCCCCCAAGCCACCAACGUUGUAGCUCUCUAGUCAAUUAUUUUGACAAUCUAAACGCCCUCUCUUUUGAGAGGGCGUUUUUU
rfam:Anaerolinea sp. 4484_236 ex4484_236_scaffold_6363, whole genome shotgun sequence.